rnacentral:rRNA from 1 species
GAUGAACGCUAGCGGCAGGCUUAAUACAUGCAAGUCGAGGGGCAGCGCGGGGUAGCAAUACUCUGGCGGCGACCGGCAAACGGGCGCGGAACACGUACAGAACCUUCCUUCGAGUGGGGAAAAGCCCAGAGAAAUUUGGAUUAAUACCCCAUAGUAUAGUGGAGUGGCAUCAGCCUGUUAUUAAAGAUUGAUCACUUGAAGAUGGCUGUGCGGCUGAUUAGGUAGUGGGCGGGGUAACGGCCCACCAAGCCUGCGAUCAGUAACUGGUGUGAGAGCACGACCAGUCACACGGGGACUGAGACACGGGCCCGACUCUUACGGGAGGCAGCAGUAAGGAAUAUUGGUCAAUCGCCGAGAGUCUGAACCAGCCAUGCCGCGUGAAGGAUGAAGGUCCUCUGGAUUGUAAACUUCUUUUAUAUGGGACGAAUAAAGGCUUUUCUAAGUCGUCUGACGGUACCAUUUGAAUAAGCACCGGCUAACUCCGUGCCAGCAGCCGCAGUAACAC